rnacentral:rRNA from 1 species
AGGGUUUGAUUCUGGCUCAGGAUGAACGCUGGCGGCGUGCUUAACACAUGCAAGUCGAACGAACCUUCGGGUUAGUGGCGGACGGGUGAGUAACGCGCGAGAAUCUGCCCUCAGGAGGGGGAUAACGGUUGGAAACGACCGCUAAUACCCCAUAUGCCUACUGGUGAAAUGAAUUUCGCCUGAGGAUGAGCUCGCGUCUGAUUAGCUAGUUGGUGGGGUAAUGGCUCACCAAGGCUUCGAUCAGUAGCUGGUCUGAGAGGAUGAUCAGCCACACUGGGACUGAGACACGGCCCAGACUCCUACGGGAGGCAGCAGUGGGGAAUUUUCCGCAAUGGGCGAAAGCCUGACGGAGCAACGCCGCGUGAGGGACGAAGGCCUCUGGGCUGUAAACCUCUUUUCUCAAGGAAGAAGAUAUGACGGUACUUGAGGAAUAAGCCACGGCUAAUUCCGUGCCAGCCGCCGCGGUAAUUC